rnacentral:lncRNA from 1 species
GCUACUUUCCAUCCUGCCUCUGCGAUCACCCUUCGCCGGCGUGUUCACACUCUGUCUGGCAAGAGCGGCAGGAAGGAGAGCAGCGCCGGACAGGGCGGGAGAGAAGAGGAGGGAAUUUCCACCGCUUCCCGGCACUGGCCGGGCUCAGGCACCCCAGGGCGCUCCUCCGCUCCGGCCCCUCUCUCCGCGCGGCGGCCCCGACUUCCCCCCAAAACUAGUCCUGGGGGCGGGCCGGGGUACGGAGGAGGCUUUCCCAGCGUUACGGAGAGUUCUCCAAGUUGAGGGUAGAAAGGGCGAAUGAGCAAUGUCCCCAUAGGGUGAGGGCGCAUGGAGAGGUGCGAAGGGCACAAAAGGCUAAGCCAUGGAAAGUUCAAGAGUCUGGAAGAGACCUGCCUGAGUAAAAAGUUUCUCCUUCUCUUCUCAUUAAGAGGAAAGUCAUCUCUCAAACGGAACCUUAUUAAACUUACAUCCUUUCUGAAUAUGGUAAUCCCUCUGCAUCUAUUAGUUAUUUUAAUUUUAUAUUCCUGGUACAAUCUGAUUCCAAAAAGUGUCCAGUCAGCUGAUGGGGAUAAAGGAUCUACUUUUUUCCUGGGAAAAAUUCUAGUGGCCAAAAAGAAUGGGAGAGUUUAUUUAGAGCCAGUAGAAUUGGUCUCAGGCAGUGUUAAGAUGGAG